rnacentral:rRNA from 1 species
AUUGAACGCUGGCGGCAGGCCUAACACAUGCAAGUCGAACGGUAACAGGAAGAAGCUUGCUUCUUUGCUGACGAGUGGCGGACGGGUGAGUCAUGUCUGGGAAACUGCCUGAUGGAGGGGGAUAACUACUGGAAACGGUAGCUAAUACCGCAUAACGUCGCAAGACCAAAGAGGGGGACCUUCGGGCCUCUUGCCAUCGGAUGUGCCCAGAUGGGAUUAGCUAGUAGGUGGGGUAACGGCUCACCUAGGCGACGAUCCCUAGCUGGUCUGAGAGGAUGACCAGCCACACUGGAACUGAGACACGGUCCAGACUCCUACGGGAGGCAGCAGUGGGGAAUCUUGCACAAUGGGCGCAAGCCUGAUGCAGCCAUGCCGCGUGUAUGAAGAAGGCCUUCGGGUUGUAAAGUACUUUCAGCGGGGAGGAAGGGAGUAAAGUUAAUACCUUUGCUCAUUGACGUUACCCGCAGAAGAAGCACCGGCUAACUCCGUG